UACCAUUUGAAUAAGCCACCGGCUAACUCCGUUGCCAGCAGCCGCGGUAAUACCGGAGGGUGCAAGCGUUAUCCGGACUCCAUUGGGUUUACAGGGUGCGGUAAGCUGAUAGAUAAGUUCAGUGGUGACACAUCUUGCGGGCUUAACCGUAAAACUGCCAUUGAUACUGUUUAUCUAGAGUACAUAUUAGGUAGGCGGAAUAUAGUAUGUAGCGGUGAAAUGCAUAGAUAUACUAUAGAACACCGAUUGCGAAGGCAGCUUACUAAAUUGUUACUGACGCUGAGGCACGAAAGCGUGGGGAGCGAACAGGAUUAGAUACCCUGGUAGUCCACGCAGUAAACGAUGAUUACUCGAUGUUGGCGAUACACUGUCAGCGUCUGCGCGAAAGCAUUAAGUAAUCCACCUGGGGAGUACGAUCGCAAGGUUGAAACUCAAAGGAAUUGACGGGGGCCCGCACAAGCGGAGGAGCAUGUGGUUUAAUUCGAUGAUACGCGAGGAACCUUACCUGGGCUUAAAUGUAGUGUGCAUUAGCGAUGAAAAUCCUAUUUCCUUCGGGACCCACUACAAGGUGCUGCAUGGUUGUCGUCAGCUCGUGCCGUGAGGUGUCGGGUUAAGUCCCAUAACGAGCGCAACCCCUAUUCUUAGUUGCCAUCAGGUAAUGCUGGGGACUCUAAGAAAACUGCCGGCGCAAGCCGUGAGGAAGGUGGGGAUGACGUCAAAUCAGCACGGCCCUUAUGUCCAGGGCUACACACGUGCUACAAUGGUCGGCACAAAGGGCAGCUACACAGCGAUGUGAUGCUAAUCUCCAAAGCCGAUCCUAGUUCGGAUCGAAGUCUGCAAUUCGACUUCGUGAAGUUGGAUUCGCUAGUAAUCGUAUAUCAGCAAUGAUACGGUGAAUAUGUUCCNCGGGCCUUGUACACACCGCCCGUCAAGCCAUGGAAGCUGAGGGUACCUGAAGUUUGUGA
rnacentral:rRNA from 1 species